rnacentral:lncRNA from 1 species
AUUAAACGUUCUGAGAAGAAUAAAAAUAAAUGAAAAUACAAAAAUGCACUUUAAAUGGGGCUAUUCUUUUCCAAGGAGAAAAAAAGCGGGGGGUGGUGGUAUUCUUUUUCAAGCAAGCAAUCUCUUGUAAAAUUCACUUUGCAGCUUCUACCCGAAUCAUAUAGCAAGAUUUCCUCAUUCGCCAGACUGUGGAAAUAAAUCAAGGACCUUUGUCCGUGCUACUAAAUAAUGUCCGUGAUAUCACACACUCAGCAAAGAUGCCUUCUUUUUCAGCUGCUUUGCUGUCUAACUUGCUCUGUAUACUAAUGUGGUUCUGAGAUGAUUGUGUGAGAUGUUGAUAUUUGGGAAUGCUGCUGAUCAGCUUUCUGUUUUCAGAAAUCGCACCAAAGACUUGAGGUUUUAGCGGAAUUGAUAAGAGGAAAGCCACAUAAGAGCCCUUGCUUUGAUGCACGUAAUAAUAGCCAGCAAAACCCACCCUGUGCAGCCUUGAGAGCAGCCCCACUACUCUGAGGAGUACUCAGAUAUUUAGGGACUCAGGGAUAAGGAUGAAAUUCAAAAAGGAAGCUAUGCUCAGAUGCUGAGCCAUUUCUGACACUUUUGGCAUUCUUUCUUGCUUGGACUUCUACUAGUAAAUUUUUUUGUUUAGCCACCUCAUUUUGGAUGUUUGCAUACAAUCCAGUAAAGUGGCAUGGUAAUUAAAAUAUAUAGCUUAGAUGGAAACUUGGCCUGUGAUUCAUUAAAAUGUUUCGUGAAUAUUGCCAAUCUUCCCCACUUCGUUAGACUUUUCCCCUGCUUCUACUCUCUGUGUCUGGCUCAGUCUUGUCCUGGCCUCUAAAUGUGUUUAUUCUAUACAGUUUGUGUGUUUGUUCAUUUAUUAAUUCAAUAAAUAUUUAUUAAGUAUCUGCUUAUCUUAAGCACUUAUAGUCACAGAUGUUCAUACCAUUAAGCAUGCCAUCCAAGAUAAACUUGAAAAGUUUUUGGGACUUGAUACAUUGCAGAAACAUCAAACUUAUUUAAGUUCAAUGUACACUUGAAGAAUCUGCAUUAUUUUUUCCUAUCUAGAAAUUUUAUACUUUAAGACCCUGAGUUACUCUUUACAUCCAAAAGAACCAAAGUCAUGAGAUUAAAUUAAAAAAGGGUUUGGUAGAUCCAGAGAAUUAUUAGCUGUCAGUGUUAGGGAGAAUAGCAUUAACAUUUUAUGGGGUAUUUCUACUUUAUGCCUAUCACCUCAUAUACUAUAAUCUCAUUUCACCUUAAUAUAUAUAGGUAUGAAGUAUAUAUUUAUAUAUGUAAUAUAUUUAUACAAGUAAUAUAUUAAUCCCAUAAAAAGGUAUAAAAUAAAAAAUAACGUAUCUUCACUCCAUCAUCUCUCUUCCCUUUGUAUAUAUAUCCAGAAAAAAGGUUUUAUGCAUAUACCUGUAUGUUUAGAAAUACAAUGGAUAUGUGCAUAUAUGUAUAUACUUUUUAUUAUAUAUGUAUAACUUUAAUUAACACAAAUAGAGACCACUGCCUAUGUAGCUUUUAAAACAUAAAUACAUAUGGGAGCUGUUUCCUCAAAAGCACAUACAGACCAAGCUCAUUACUGUAUUUGACUGUGUGGCAUUCCGUAGUAUGAGCGUACCAGAGUAUAUUACCUGGUUCCUAUUGGUGGACAUUUAGAUUGUUUCUUGUUUUUAUAAUUAUAAGUAGUUAUAAGAAUGUAUUAAUAUCUGUGUCUUGGCAGAUAUUUUUGACUAUACAUCUCCAUAGAAAACUUUCUAACAUGAAAUGACUGGGUUAAAGUAUAUUGGUAUUUAGAAAUUUGAUAGACAUAGCUGACUUGCUAUCAAAAAAUAUUAUGUAAAUGUACACUUUUCCAUCAAUAAUAGAAGUUGAAAACAAAAUUUUAGUUUCUUUUUCCACACACUAUCGCCAAUAUUGGUUAUUUUGGCAAAAUGAUAUUUCAUUUUUUUAUGUUUCUUUAAAUUUUAGAAGUUGAGCAUAUUUUCAUGUUUACAGGACCUUUUUAUUAGUUUUCCUAAAAGCUUCCUGUUCACAGCCUUUGACUAUUUUCUAUUGCACCAUAUUUUAAAAAUGGAUUUAUAUUAGGUCUUUUAAAAUUAAGAAAUUGGCUUUUUGCAUCCACAUUGCACAUAGUUUUCUAAGUAUUUUGUCUUUUGACUUUAUGCAUUUUUAUGUACAAAAUGUUAUAUUUCUGUGUAGACAAUUUAUCAUUCUUUUAAAAUUGCAUCUAGGUUUUAUGUCCUGUUUACAAAAGCCCUUCCAAUUCCAAGAUUGUAAAUAAAUUUGCCUGGGCCUUAUUCUAGUGUUUUUAUAGGUUUAUUUUGAAAAACUUUGAUUCAUCUGGAAUUAAAACUUUUUCGUGGCAUAAGAAGCAAUAUAAUGAUCCAUCCUCUUUCCAGCCCUUCACCCUUUCUUCUUCCCUCUCUCUCUCCCUUUGUCAUUGGCUAGCUACAUGUCCUAAUUCUGGUUACUGCAUACUCCAUUCUUACCCCUGCUUUGAAAUGCCUCUUUUAUCAUGUUAGUAUCUCCAGCUCACAUAUGAGAAGCUACACUAACAAAGAUAGUGGCAGAGCCAGAAUUUGAUUCCUUGUUAAUUUAAAGCUAAGGUCUGACCUUUUCUCACUUCAGUGUUUUGGAUUGAUACUGAGGAGAGGCAUGUUUAUCAUCUUUUCAAAUUUGCUUUUUUUUUUUUUUUUUUUUUUUAGUUUUUGUGGGUACAUAGUAGGUGUAUAUAUUUAUGGGGUACAUGAGACGUCUUGAUACAGGCAUGUGGUCUGAAAUAGCACAUUAUGGGGAAUGAGGUAUCUAUCCCUUCAAGCAUUUACACUUUAAGUUACAAACAAUUCAAUUACACUCUUUAAGUUAUUUUAAAAGGGCCAUAGUGCCAUCAAGAGAGAGGAGGAAGUCAGGAGGAGGAGCAGGUCUGGGGAAAAAGGAUAGAAGGAGGACAUGAUGAGUUUGGAUCUAAACAUACGAGGUUUGGAUGACGUAGAUUUGAGUGCCAGUUAAGAUGUGCAGCUGCCCUAUAACCUAUGACGAAGAUGAGUUAAUUGCUGAGUUCUAGAGUAGCCUCAAACUUAGGCUAUUUUAUUCUCUUAUUCAACAGGGCUUUGUGCUAGUAUGGGUUCUCACAAGUUCAAACACAAAGCAUGCUGUGUCCCUGCUCGAGCAUCUCCAGGAGGGCCUGGAUUAAUAGAAAUGCAAAUGGAGCAUCUGCACAAGGCCAUAUGAUUAGAGCCUCUCCUUCCUGUGUCUGAUAUUGUCCUAUGAGAAAUCUCUGACAAAAUUCAACAACACUUCAUGCUAAAAACUCUCAAUAAAUUAGGUAUUGAUGGGACGUAUCUCAAAAUAAUAAGAGCUAUCUAUGACAAACCCACAGGCAAUAUCAUAGUGAAUGGGCAAAAACUGGAAGCAUUCCCUUUGAAAACUGGCACAAGACAGGGAUGCCCUCUCUCACCACUCCUAUUCAACAUAGUGUUGGAAGUUCUGGCCAGGGCAAUUAGGCAGGAGAAGGAAAUAAAGGGUAUUCAGUUAGGAAAAGAAGAAGUCAAAUUGUCCCUGUUUGCAAACGACAUGAUUGUAUAUCUAGAAAACCCCAUUGUCUCAGCCCAAAAUCUCCUUAAGCUGAUAAGCAACUUCAGCAAAGUCUCAGGAUACAAAAUCAAUGUACAAAAAUCACAAGCAUUCUUAUACACCAAUAACAGACAAACAGAGAGCCAAAUCAUGAGUGAACUCCCAUUCACAAUUGCUUCAAAGAGAAUAAAAUACUUAGGAAUCCAACUUACAAGGGACGUGAAGGACCUCUUCAAGGAGAACUACAAACCACUGCUCAAUGAAAUAAAAGAGGAUACAAAGAAAUGGAAGAACAUUCCAUGCUCAUGGGUAGGAAGAAUCAAUAUCGUGAAAAUGGCCAUACCGCUCAAGGUAAUUUAUAGAUUCAAUGCCAUCCCCAUCAAGCUACCAAUGACUUUCUUCACAGAAUUGGAAAAAACUACUUUAAAUUUCAUAUGGAACCAAAAAAGAGCCCGCAUUGCCAAGUCAAUCCUAAGCAAAAAGAACAAAGCUGGAGGCAUCACAUUACCUGACUUCAAACUAUACUGCAAGGCUACAGUAACCAAAACAGCAUGAUACUGGUACCAAAACAGAGAUAUAGAUCAAUGGAACAGAACGGAGCC